AACGAACGCUGGCGGCAUGCCUAACACAUGCAAGUCGAACGAGACCUUCGGGCCUAGUGGCGCACGGGUGCGUAACGCCUGGGAACCUGCCCUUAGGUUCGGAAUAACUCCCCGAAAGGGGUGCUAAUACCGGAUAAUGUCUUCGGACCAAAGAUUUAUCGCCUUUGGAUGGGCCCGCGUUGGAUUAGCUAGUUGGUAGGGUAAAAGCCUACCAAGGCGAAGAUCCAUAGCUGGUCUGAGAGGAUGAUCAGCCACACUGGGACUGAGACACGGCCCAGACUCCUACGGGAAGCAGCAGUAGGGAAUAUUGGACAAUGGGCGAAAGCCUGAUCCAGCAAUGCCGCGUGAGUGAUGAAGGCCUUAGGGUUGUAAAGCUCUUUGACCCGGGAUGAGAAUGACAGUACCGGGAGAAUAAGCUCCGGCUAACUCCGUG
rnacentral:rRNA from 1 species